CCUACGGGCGGCAGCAGUGGGGAAUAUUGCGCAAUGGGCGAAAGCCUGACGCAGCGACGCCGCGUGAGGGAUGAAGGUCUUCGGAUCGUAAACCUCUGUCAGCAGGGAAGAACGGUCACUGUGCUAAUCAGCAGUGAAUUGACGGUACCUGACCAAGAAGCCCCGGCUAACUACGUGCCAGCAGCCGCGGUAAUACGUAGGGGGCAAGCGUUAUCCGGAUUUAAUGGGUGUCAAGGGAGCGUAGACGGCAGGGCAAGUCUGGAGUGAAAGGGAGGGGCCCAACCCCUGGACUGCUCUGGAAACUGUCCGGCUGGAGUGCAGGAGAGGUAAGUGGAAUUCCUAGUGUAGCGGUGAAAUGCGUAGAUAUUAGGAGGAACACCAGUGGCGAAGGCGGCUUACUGGACUGUAACUGACGUUGAGGCUCGAAAGCGUGGGGAGCAAACAGGAUUAGAUACCCCGGUAGUC
rnacentral:rRNA from 1 species